UGGAGCUAUAAUUGUGUAAUAUUAUUAUUAUUGUUGCCAUUUGCAUGGCGCCAACAGAUUCCGUAGUGCUAUAUAUAUUUUUAAAUUAAUUUUUGAGAUAAGGUACUGAGGAUUGUGGGAGUGACGAGCUCACAAGAUUGCAUUCAGUGUUGAAUACGGGAUUUAGGAAGGUGUAGCUUGUAGCUUGUUAAGGGGAAUAUGCGAUGUUGUUAUGUCUGUAUAAGAGGAGGAAAGUGAUUAAUGGUUAGAGGAUGUUAAGGGAAAUUGGUUGAAUUCCGUGAGUUUAUCUUGCUUCAUGUUAAAGUACAUUUUUCAAUGGAUAGCUUUAUGGGCUGUUAAAUGCAUAAUGUUCUCAACUGUCUUAUUUAACCUGCCAGGUCUGUUCAUAGUUUAAUAUUUCAUUUUGCAGAACGGAAUGUUGCUUCUCUGACUUAUUUUAUUAGUUAUAAUAUGGUGUAUUGUUGAAAGUACGUCAGCCACCACCCUAAAGAUGGCGCCUAGUACAGAAGCAGGUUGACCCUGAAAGUCCCGUGACCUAUCUACAGUCACGGUUGCUUCUAAAGUAACGUCACUUCCGCCCUUACCAUGCCCACACCUCCUGUCUUCCUUUCCCACACCUAUCAUGGACGUCACCUCACUUCCUCCCUUGCUGUCAUUUCCUUCCCCGCCCCUGUCAUGGCUGCCUCCAUCAUGAGGCCUACCCCUAUCAUGCUCGUCCUAUUUAGAGACAUUACACUCUACAUAUUAUGAACUGAAACGUUAUAUUAACUAAAACAAUCAUGCCAUUUGUUUCCCUGUAUCAGAGAUGUGUCCGUGAUAUUUAAAAAAAAAAAAAAAAAGAAAGAGGUUGCUAAAGAGUCAUUUGCACCUGUGGUGUGACCUACAAAUGAGUUCUGUAGGGCACGAAUAUAAGAGCAUUACAGCUAAUUAUCCUGAUGAUUAUUCAUUAAUGCCUGUGUCUUGCAACAAGGGAUAUUGCAAAAUAAUGCAAGUUAUUUUAAACAUUGUAUCUUUACUUAAUAGAAUCUUGCUAGUUAAAAAUCGUAUGUUUACAGUAACAUCCUUUACGUUAAAUGACAUUCCUCCGCCUCCCUGUCCCCCGCCACCUUUACCUAUGCUUGCCUCUCGUCCCCUCUCCACCUCGACCCCUCCCCAGUGUUACCCACUCACCCGUCUCCAUCCGCUGCCCCGCUCUCUGCCCUCUCGACCUUACUCACCCCACCGCCCCAGAUCCUCCAGACCCUUGUCCUCCCGCUGAUCCCGCUUCCCUUAUGCCUCCGGACCUCCCUUCUACCUCGUUGUCCCCUCCCCUCCCGGCUGAUUUGCCGUCCCUAAUCUCUGCCCUUACCGCCCUGACCCAGCCCCCCGUUACCACCCCUCCAACCCCUUCUCCUCCCUCGGCUGAUUUGCCGUCCCUAAUCUCUGCCCUUACCGCCCUGACCCAGUCCCCCGUUACCACCCCUCCAACCUCUUCUCCUCCCUCGGCUGAUUUGCCGUCCCUAAUCUCUGCCCUUACCGCCCUGACCCAGGCCCCCGUUCCCACCCCUCCAACCCCUUCUCCAGUGGUACCCCCUCCCGAUAUCCCGGUCCCCUCUACUUCGUUGCCUCCUCCCCUCCCGACUGAUUUGCCGUCCCAACCCUCUACCCACGCUGUUGCGACCCAGCCCCCUGUUCCCAUCCCUCCGACCCCUCCCCCGGUGACCCCUGACUCAACCAUGGCCAAUGACCUGUCUAGCUCGAUAUCCGCCCUCUUCUCUGCUGUUACCUCCCUGGUUAAUUCCGCGAUUCCUGCCCCGCCUCCCACUGAUUUACCUCCUCCUCCUCCACCUCCUCCCACCCUUAAUACUCACCUAUCACGCCCAUCCCAGCCGGCCCCCUGCUUUAGAGGCCCGUGCAUACCCUCCAGCUCAUGCUGAUGGGUUUGACACGGGUGGUUUCCGAGAUAUUCAGCCCCUACCUCGACAAAGCCGCCUUGCCCGUGCUCCUAUGCAGUCCAGCCACCCUCCCACUUCUACCCGCCGGUACCAAGGACCCGACCAGGCCCAUUUAGAUUUACUGCAAUAGGUUACCGGCAAGCCUGUGUCAGCAACCCCUGCCAUGACCCCUCCUUUUUGUCAGACACCGAUGUCUCCUGUGUUGGGGUGGAUGGUACACCCCGCAGUAGCCCCCUCCCUACACUCCUGCAUGUUGGUUCACACAUACUCUCACGUUUUGUUGUUUCUUCUACUUGUCCCAUUAACCUCUUGGGUGCUGAUGUUCCUUCUCGGCUCCAGGGUCCAGUUAACUACACCCUUAUCACAGUCAGACACCACUGUACUCUGCUCACUCCCCAUCUUGUUGAACCUAACUGACAAUACAGGGAGUGCACGGGUCACACCCCCCCCCCAGUGCUCUGGAUCGUAUCCCCCAAGAACUUUGGUCCACCGGCCCGGAUGAUAUUGGACGCUUACAUGUACCCCCCCGUCCUGGUCCAGCUCCUGCCUGGAGCACUUCCUCUUCGUAGACCUCAGUAUCCUCUGAAGUCACCACAAGCUGAAACCAUCACCAAACAAGUUGAGUCUCUGCUUGCCAAAGGUGCCCUCACCAAGUGCACAUCUCCAUACAACACCCCACUUUUCCCUGUUAAAAAGCGAACUGUUAAGGGCCAACCCGACCAGUACCGCAUGGUACAGGACCUCCGUGCUGUUAAUGAAGUAACCAUAAAGGACACUGCUAUUGUUCCAAACCCCCAUACUCAUCUGGAUGUUAUUCUACUUCAAUAUGUUGAUGACCUCCUUCUCUGUGCUCCUAAUUUGCUUAUUGCAGAGCGUGACUCAGAAGAUCUCCUAUGUUUCCUCGCUGCUGCAGGUUGCAAAACUUCCAAAUCCAAGCUGCAAUGGUGCCGGCCCUCUGUGGUCUUCUUGGGACAUUGUCUUUCCCAUGGCACCAGACAUCUAACUUCUCAGCGUGUACAAGCUAUUUUGCAACUCCAAUUACCUGCACCACAUCAGACUCUUCAUGCCUUCUUGGGUCUUAUCACAUACUGCAGGUCCUGGAUACCCGAAGCAUCAAAGCUCAUGCAGCCACUCUAUGAUGCCCUCAGGAGUGAGCCCUUUCACCUCACUGAAGAAACUAUCAUCUGUUUCCACAAUCUGAAAAGAGCUAUUGCUUCUGCACCUGCCUUGGGCCUACCCAACUACCAACUUCCUUUCAAUCUGUUUGUCUCUGAAAAAUCAGGACAUGCUUCCGGAGUCCUCACCCAGAAACAUGGAUCAAGACAACGACCUAUUGGCUAUUUUUCCUGCAUGCUUGACCCUGUUGCGAGAGGUAGUCCCUUUUGCCUCAGAGCGGUGUUUGCCGCCAGCGCCCUCCUGGACAAGACCAAUGACUUUGUUCUUGGCCACCACCUCACAGUGUUGGCCCCUCAUGACAUUACUGCAAUCCUGCAACAAACUCAACCUAAGCACCUUUCUUCUCAACGUUACCUUCGUCUACAAACAUCCUUACUGUAACCUGACAAUGUGGAACUUCAGCGAUGUCUCUCCCUGAACCCGGCCACUCUUCUGCCACUUCCCAAGGGGGGAAUUGUGCAUUACUGGUAUAGCCUGGACAUCAACCCAGAGGUUUGAGCAGAUUUGCAGCUGCCUGCACUUGCACCCCCACAUAAUGAACAAUCAGAGGCCCUACUUCACUGCACCUUAUGGUUUAAAGACAGACCAGGCCCUGAUAUGAACUAUGAGGAAGAAUUAUUCCAGCUCAAGGAAAUUCCAAUUACCCUGACUGACUUGUUAUGGGACCCCACAGGUACCAUGCUCAUCUUAGUCCAUCUUCCAGAGAACAUGACACAUCUCUACCAUCAUUGGGAAACAGCUAUCCCACACAUAUCUCUCACCAGAUCCUCUGACACCUCAUGGAAAGACCUAGGCCCGAUGGCCAAGACCUGGAGUCAAAUGAACCAAGAACAACUGACUUCUAUGGGGACCAGCAAAAAGACUAUUAACUACUGUACAGCAGGGUACCCUAGGUACCACACAGACGUCAUGAGGACCCACUCAUCAUAGACUGUGACCCUGAUAUUUCCCCACUUAGCUGAUCAGGCCGCUAAGGAAGCAGCACGACAAGGAUGGGAAGUGGACAGAAGAGUGGCCACAGAUGCAGUACCCAUCUACACUAUGCAGACACUGCCUACGGAUCUUAGGCUUCUAAAGGAACAACGAGCUGCUGCUACUCCCCAGGAGAAACAAAGUUGGAAGAACAAAGGAGCUGUACUCCGUGAUGAUGUUUACACUAUCAAUCUCAAGUUUUGCCUACCCAGAAAUAUGUAUCCAGCGGUGGUCCAAUGGGCCCAUGGGCCAGCCCACCUGUCAAAACAUCUGAUGAACUCAUUGAUUGACAAGUAUUUUGAAGCACCAGGCAUCACUACCUUAACACAGAAUUACUGUAAAUCUUGUACUAUAUGUGCUAAAUGCAAUCCUGGAAAGAUUAUAAAGACUGCACCUAAUCAUCUAGCUAAACCACAAUACCCCUUCCAGAGGAUCCAGAUUGAUCACAUUCAGAUGCCAAAGAGUGGACGUUAUGAAUAUGCAUUGGUCAUAGUGGACAUGUUUUCAGGAUGGCCAGAGGCCUUCCCAGUGACUAAUCUCACCGCGAGGACUACAGCCAAGUAUCUCUUGACAGAAAUUGUUUGCCGCUAUGGAGUUCCAGAAGUAAUUGAAAGUGACCAAGGGACCUCCUUCACUGCCUCACUAACACGGGAAGUCUGGCCAGCACUGGGGGUGACCCUUGCAUUCCACACACCAUAUCACCCACAGAGUAGUGGUAAGGUAGAGCGCAUGAAUGGCACUUUGAAAGCCAGAAUGCUUCAAAUGUCACAAGAAACUAACAUGCCCUGGCCCGAGAGUCUCCCAUUAGCGUUGUUUAGUGUAAGGUACACUCCUAGGGGAAAAUAUAGCCUAUCACCUUAUGAGAUUUUGUUUGGUACAGCACCCAGGUUAGGUUGUUACUUUCCCCAACAGCUUCAGAUUCAGUCAGAUGCUAUGGUAGACUAUGUGACUGCCCUCUCACAUGCCUUGACCAAAAUACAUGCCCAAGUGUUUUCUUCUAUUCCAGAUCCUGAGUCAAAUACAGGUACACACAAGCUGCUUCCUGGUGAUUGGGUUAUGGUCAAGAAGUUUCUCAGGAAACACACCCUAGAACCAAGAUUUGAUGGCCCAUAUCAAGUGCUCCUGAUUACAGCAACGUCAGUUAAACUAGCCGGGAAGAGUUCUUAUACACGCCUCACAUUGCAAAAAAGUGCCUGCUCCAGAAGAGGCUAAUCUUGCUGAAAUAUGAAUUUAUUAUGUGUCUUGUGUUUUCUUAUGCUGCUACACUUUACCUGGGCCCAACAAGUGGCCAUAACCAAAGAUAAUCAUGUUUACACUUUUCUGGUACAAUUCUUCUAACACAGAUGUAGCUACAUACACCUUUGAUUACUGUGACAUAGUUGUUUGCACCUUUUCCACAAACACAAUAUGCAGCCAUAUACAAAGACAUACCUAGCAAAAAGGCUCACCUCACCAGACUGGGUAGGAACCACUCACAUGACUAUUAACACGUUAAAACCACAUAUUAAGACUCUACAUGACAUGGUAGCUAUAGCCAAUCCCACCUUUGAAGACACUAUGACAGUAGAGACUGGGUUUUCAGAC